rnacentral:rRNA from 1 species
UACGAAGGGGGCUAGCGUUGCUCGGAAUCACUGGGCGUAAAGGGUGCGUAGGCGGGUCUUUAAGUCAGGGGUGAAAUCCUGGAGCUCAACUCCAGAACUGCCUUUGAUACUGAAGAUCUUGAGUUCGGGAGAGGUGAGUGGAACUGCGAGUGUAGAGGUGAAAUUCGUAGAUAUUCGCAAGAACACCAGUGGCGAAGGCAGCUCACUGGUCCGGUACUGACGCUGAGGUGCGAAAGCGUGGGGAGCAAACAGG